GGAAUGGAAAGGUUGUCAGGAUUUCUAGUCCAUUAUAUUUCCAGAAAUGGAAGUCCUCAUCACCACAUACAUCCCCUUUGUGAAGAACUUGCCGGCUUCUCACUCUCUUGAUCUUCCUUUUAUAAGCUCUUCACUGUUGGCGGGGACCCACCCUCACCACAACAGGAGGCACAAACGGCAAUCUGCUAUCACGUGGGAAGAAAGUAUGGUGUUAAAAGGCCACUUUCUUCCCUAGAAACCUUUUCAGUUGUUGGAAACAAAGGUUUGUGCAUAUCACCUGGAGCAAAGGCGCCGUGGGCAUGGUCACCUGGAGAGAAGCUGGAUGCAUAUCGGUGAGACAUGAUGGGAUCCAAGGCAGGCAGAGAGAAAAGCCAGAGAGGACGAAGAUGGAAGGCAACCUCCCUGAGGACUCUGCUGUCCGGCGGGGAGGCGCCCCCCCGCCAGGAAGGACUUCCGGGGCCAUCGGCUGCCUGAGGUGGGGUGGAGGGCAAGCGCCUUACUGAGGUGUGGGCAGCUGGGGGUUUUGUUAAAGAUCUUUCUAUUGGGGCGCCUGGAUUGCUCAGUGGGUUAAGCCACUGCCUCCGGCUCAGGUCAUGAUCCCAGGGUCCUGGGAUG